UUCCACAUGAUCCCAUCCAAGGAAUAAGAGUCUUAUCCAGUGAAACCAUCCCUCAUUUUCUGAAAAAGUUCAUAUUCAUAAAGUUUUAAACAAAUGCUCUGUGAUGCGUGUCGUCACACAUUGUAUAAUCCUGUUGGAAAGUUCAUGUGUGGUUAGUUCUUCCUUUUAAAAACUCUCAUCAUCUCAUGUUCUCCUCCAAAUUAGUUUUACCCUCUCUGUGAAGAGCAAUGACUGUUUCUGCACGAUGGCUUUAUUAAAACACUGGGUCAGUGCUUUCACCUGCGCCAACAUCAGCUGAUAAAGACACAUUUGUGGUUAAAGUGUAUAAACAGUAUUUCUUUAAAGAAGAAGAGCAGCGUUUAACUGCACAAGCCCUGAAUCCUCGGCUGGGCACCACUGGAGAAAACUCCUGGACUGAUUUCCUCAAAAAACUGAAUUUCUUUGUGACUGAAGACAGACAAACAUGAAGAUCCUGAUGACACGGGGUGAGUGACUUUAUCAGGAAAUGUUAUAUUGGAAGUGGACUUCUUCUUUAACUCUCAUCACUGCAAUAAAGCAAACGGUCAGCUGAA